AGAGUUUGAUCCUGGCUCAGAACGAACGCUGGCGGCAUGCCUAACACAUGCAAGUCGAACGCUUCCGGGGGUUUCGGCCUCCGGGGGAGUGGCGCACGGGUGAGUAGCGCGUGGGAACCUGUCCUGUAGUGGGGGAUAACCGAGGGAAACUUCGGCUAAUACCGCAUGCGCCCGGGGGCGACCCCGGGGAAAGAUUUAUCGCUGCAGGAGGGGCCCGCGUCGGAUUAGGUAGUUGGUGGGGUAACGGCCCACCAAGCCUUUGAUCCGUAGCUGGUCUGAGAGGAUGAUCAGCCACACUGGGACUGAGACACGGCCCAGACUCCUACGGGAGGCAGCAGUGGGGAAUAUUGGACAAUGGGCGCAAGCCUGAUCCAGCAAUGCCGCGUGAGUGAUGAAGGCCUUAGGGUUGUAAAGCUCUUUCGGCGGGGACGAUGAUGACGGUACCCGCAGAAGAAGCCCCGGCUAACUUCGUGCCAGCAGCCGCGGUAAUAC
rnacentral:rRNA from 1 species